CAUUACCGAGUUAUACAACUCAUCAACCCUGUGAACAUACCUAAAACGUUGCUUCGGCGGGAACAGACGGCCCUGUAACAACGGGCCGCCCCCGCCAGAGGACCCCUAACUCUGUUUUUAUAAUGUUUUUCUGAGUAAACAAGCAAAUAAAUUAAAACUUUCAACAACGGAUCUCUUGGCUCUGGCAUCGAUGAAGAACGCAGCGAAAUGCGAUAAGUAAUGUGAAUUGCAGAAUUCAGUGAAUCAUCGAAUCUUUGAACGCACAUUGCGCCCGCCAGUAUUCUGGCGGGCAUGCCUGUUCGAGCGUCAUUACAACCCUCAGGCCCCCGGGCCUGGCGUUGGGGAUCGGCGGAAGCCCCCUGUGGGCACACGCCGUCCCUCAAAUACAGUGGCGGUCCCGCCGCAGCUUCCAUUGCGUAGUAGCUAACACCUCGCAACUGGAGAGCGGCGCGGCCAUGCCGUAAAACACCCAACUUCUGAAUGUUGACCUCGAAUCAGGUAGGAAUACCCGCUGAACUUAAGCAUAUCAAUA
rnacentral:rRNA from 1 species